rnacentral:rRNA from 1 species
CCUACGGGUGGCAGCAGUGGGGAAUAUUGCACAAUGGGCGCAAGCCUGAUGCAGCCAUGCCGCGUGUGUGAAGAAGGCCUUCGGGUUGUAAAGCACUUUCAGCGGGGAGGAAGGCGUUAAGGUUAAUAACCUUGUCGAUUGACGUUACCCGCAGAAGAAGCACCGGCUAACUCCGUGCCAGCAGCCGCGGUAAUACGGAGGGUGCAAGCGUUAAUCGGAAUUACUGGGCGUAAAGCGCACGCAGGCGGUCUGUCAAGUCGGAUGUGAAAUCCCCGGGCUCAACCUGGGAACUGCAUUCGAAACUGGCAGGCUAGAGUCUAGUAGAGGGGGGUAGAAUUCCAGGUGUAGCGGUGAAAUGCGUAGAGAUCUGGAGGAAUACCGGUGGCGAAGGCGGCCCCCUGGACAAAGACUGACGCUCAGGUGCGAAAGCGUGGGGAGCAAACAGGAUUAGAUACCCCGGUAGUC